UACGGGGGGGGCAAGCGUUGUUCGGAAUUACUGGGCGUAAAGGGCUCGUAGGCGGCCAACUAAGUCAGACGUGAAAUCCCUCGGCUUAACCGGGGAACUGCGUCUGAUACUGGAUGGCUUGAGGUUGGGAGAGGGAUGCGGAAUUCCAGGUGUAGCGGUGAAAUGCGUAGAUAUCUGGAGGAACACCGGUGGCGAAGGCGGCUAUCUGGACAGAGUCUGACGCUGAGGCGCGAAAGCUAGGGGAGCAAACAGG
rnacentral:rRNA from 1 species